GUGAGUCAUCGAAUCUUUGAACGCACCUUGCGCUCCUUGGUAUUCCGAGGAGCAUGCCUGUUUGAGUGUCAUUAAAUUCUCAACCCCUCCAGCUUUUGCGGGCUGCGAUGGGGCUUGGAUGUUGGGGGUUUGCGGGCCUUUAUUAAGAGGUCGGCUCUCCUGAAAUGCAUUAGCGGAACCGUUUGCAGUCCCGUCACUAGUGUGAUAAUUAUCUACACUGUGAUGAUUGCUCUCUGACUAGUUCAGCUGCUAAUCGUCCAUUCGGACAAUGUUUAAUGAACUUCUUGACCUCAAAUCAGG
rnacentral:misc_RNA from 1 species